GGGGAUGACGUCAAGUCAUCAUGGCCCUUACGGCCUGGGCUACACACGUGCUACAAUGGCCGGCGACAGCGGGAAGCGGAGGGGCGACCCUGAGCGGAUCCCUUGAAAGCCGGUCCCAGUUCGGAUUGCAGUCUGCAACUCGACUGCAUGAAGUUGGAAUCGCUAGUAAUCGCGGAUCAGCCAAGCCGCGGUGAAUACGUUCCCGGGCCUU
rnacentral:rRNA from 1 species